rnacentral:lncRNA from 1 species
AUGCAUCAGCUAGCUUCAAAAUAUGACAUUAAUUUGGGCUGUCAUCUUUCGCCAAACCACUUCAAAUGUCGACGAUCGAUGACUUCAUGAGUAUUCUGUGGUUGGACACACAUAUGGACCGUAGAGAUUGGAGGUUGCAAGCGUAUGUACAAUCCUGACAGAUGUACUUAAGUAUAGGACAGCUAAAAUACAAUAAGCAAUUAGAGCAUCCAAUAAAUUAAAUUGAUCAAUCAACUAGUUCUCUGUCUCUCUAGAAUAAAGUCAAGACAUAGUGUCUUCGUUAAGAGACGUGUCUUGAGUUUUUUUAUAUUUACCUUAUUAGACAUAUUCGAAGAUAUAACUAAAGAUAUCCAUUGUAUAUGUCAUAAGUAGAUAUUGAUGAUUUAAUGAGAGUCUGUCCCCAAUGCGUAAAGCGUUCACACUAAGCCUUGGUUAUAUAUCCAACAGGCAAAGUAUAAGUAUGUGAUAUACCAUACACAGGCAAACACAUAAUCGACGGAAUGGAAUGGAUAUUAUCCUUCUUUUGACGCCUUUCGCAAGUGAUGGCUUGAUGAGUAUUAUUUUGCUAUUAAUUAAUCACUAAAGCCUUGUUCGGUUGUUUAGGGAUCAGAGAAUACUGAUGAUAUUAAAUCUCUUCCAAUUUAAUUUUAACUAACAAAUGGUUUAACCUCCUUCAAUCUUUUAAUCUACUCCUAAUCGAACAAUCACUAACGAGGAUUCGCAAAGCUUGCAUUCACGUUAAUUAGUUUCUGCCAAACUCACAUCACACACCAUGGACAUUGUCC